rnacentral:rRNA from 1 species
GACGAACGCUGGCGGCGUGCUUAACACAUGCAAGUCGAACGAUGAACCCGGAGCUUGCUCCGGUGGAUUAGUGGCGAACGGGUGAGUAACACGUGAGUAACCUGCCCUUGACUCUGGGAUAACUGCGGGAAACUGUAGCUAAUACCGGAUACGACCCUCGGCGGCAUCGCCAGGGGGUGGAAAGAAUUUCGGUCAAGGAUGGACUCGCAGCCUAUCAGCUAGUUGGUGAGGUAGCGGCUCACCAAGGCGACGACGGGUAGCCGGCCUGAGAGGGUGACCGGUCACACUGGGACUGAGACACGGCCCAGACUCCUACGGGAGGCAGCAGUGGGGAAUAUUGCACAAUGGGCGCAAGCCUGAUGCAGCAACGCCGCGUGAGGGAUGACGGCCUUCGGGUUGUAAACCUCUUUUAGUAGGGAAGAAGCGAAAGUGACGGUACCUGCAGAAAAAGCACCGGCUAACUACGUGCCAGCCGCCGCGGUAA